GCUAAAAUAAGGAGAGCAGAACCAAGGCCCACAUGAUCUUUUUAGUUCUGCCUUGAACUUAUGUGUUAAUCUUUUAUGCCUUUAUAAUAUUUUUCAAUAUAUUUCAAUAUGUUUUCAAGACCAGGGACUGUGCAUUUGAGAUUACAAAUUUGAGAGAGCCAGCAAAUGAGUGGGAAUCUGUUUUUGAGCCAUUAAAAUGUGAGAAAGCUUUCCAAAUGUUUAGGAGAAGAAGGUGGUCUGUGUAUUGAGGAAAUGACCUGUAUGUGUGAAAAAAGAAGGGUGGAUGCUUGUAGCUGAAAUUCAAUGGGAAGAUAAGGAGGGAUUUUUAACCUGAGAGCAAAGUCCAGCUCCAAUCAGUAUUAUCAUACUGUUGGUAUAUUUUUAAGGCUAAUGUGAGGAUUACAUUGUUCAUGAAAGAGAAUGUGUGUCAGAAAGACUUUUAACUCCUUCUACUAAAAAUAUGUGCCUGUAAAACCAGCAAGGAUAAUGGGGAAUUGUGCUGACACUGUGUCUGUGCACAUCUGUGGAAAACCCAGGGUGUAUGUACUGCAGAAGCUACAUUCCAUAAACUGUUCCUAGGAUGAGAUGAAAUGGAAAAGAGCCAUGAAAUGAAAUGGACUAUCGAAUAGUGACUAUGUCAAGUUAUGCUGAUAACUCUUAAUUUACAGAGCCUUACUAUCUCUUCUUGUUAUGCUAUCUCCUACCUACCAUUAGCUGCUUGCAUCCUUUAUCUCCUCAGAGCCACAGGCUGCAAGAUUGCAGGUAGCAGCUGUCCCGAUGUUGACAGCAUGUUGGGUUGGAGCAUCCUUUGUCACCAGCACAGGGAGAAUAGUAGUAUGAAAUACGAAGAAACGUCUAGAAAGUUAUGUUAACACACUCAUAUUCUUGACAUGUGUAAGAAAAGUUAAGUGACUGAGGAUGCUUGAAGAAAUAUUUACUCGUGCUAAAUACUCAUGAGAUGCUUAAGAGCCACAGAAUGGGGGUGGCUACACGUAUUUUGAUGCUGAGAUUGCCCGCUUGGGCACUGACUUCAGAGUGGCAUCUGGGGAGGGAGAAAACAAAAACUGCGACUCUGGCAAAAUGCUGCAAGGUGCUGAGCACUGCUGUGGGGCAGGCAGAGUGGUGUGACCAUCAGUAGCUCUCAGGUUUGUCCUGCUGCCAUAGUAUGGGGUGUCUGCAUGCUGCGUGCUACCCUGCUCAUGUUGCCUAGCUGUCACAGCCAGUUAGAGUGACACAAACAGCAUGCUGCUUGCUUGCUUCUGCACAAUUUUUAUUUGAUUUGACUGUUUGAGUAUUUUGGGGGGUUAUUCUUUUGGUAUGCAGCAGCUGAGAGCAGGGUGACUGCAGCUCAGCUGUGAUUUGAAAGGAAGCAUGCUAGGAGGCUGGGCAGCACGAGUGCAGCCUUUGGAAUGUCAGCACAACAGUAAAAGGCUGUGGUCCCCUCUGCAGAGGGCAGUGAGCUGAGCUGCUUACUGUCUGAAUCUGUGGCCCUGGGCGAAUCAGGCCUGGUAUAUGAAGAUAACUUAGCAUUUUUCUAAUUUCAGAACAAAAGCAAAUGCUGUACACUAAGAUGUUAUGAGUUGGACAGUGGGUUGUGUGGGAGAAAAGGUCAGCCUCAGUGGAGCAUCUUGCUUUCUGAUCUCUUAGUCGGUGGUGGCCAUAACACUGAGAUCUGCAGCACAGAUGUGAGGAAGAGGCUGCUUCCUUGACCUGCUAGGGAGCUGCACUGCUAGGGACUGGAAACUCUGUAAGGUCACAGUGCUGCUUGCCUCUCUAGGGCUAAACGUCCACAAGUAAUUCUGUCCAUCCUAAAGUAGCUAGUGGUAUAGUAGCUAUGAAACAGCAAUAAAACUGCAGAGAAGCAAAAUAUGUUGGGCAUGUCACUGACACUAUUGUACACAACACCAGGAAACUUCAUUUAGAAUAUUACAUACUUCUUUUAAUAACUGUUAAAGUUGAAUUCAAGCUAGAACAGAUGUAUGGAAAGUUUAGCAAGGAUAUUAAAAGAUUGCGAAGCCUAUCUUAUGGGAAGGGACACCAAGAGAUUGGCUUGUUUAGUUUAGCAAAAUAAAGCUGAGAGAGGACUUGACAGCACUCUAUAAAUACAUCCAGGGCUAAAUGCCAGAGAGGGGGAAAAAGCUGUUUAAGCCCAAGAGCAAUAUUUGCAUAAGAACAAGUGGGCAUAAACUUGGCGCUGAAUAGGUUCAAAACUGAAGGAUAGAAACUGCCUGAUUUCCAGUAUAGUGAGGUCCUGAGAACGCUGUCCAGUGGGACAAUAGUUUUUGUGGACCAGGAGAGGGACUGUGCUGCAUGGUGCCAGUGCCCACAGAGCACCAGGUGGCAUGGCUGUGGCUUCCUUCUGGUCCUUUGUGUUGGUAGAGGGAAGGUCCUGCAGCUGGUGGUGGUCUCCCACCCUCAGAAGAGCCUUCUGCUGAAAAUGAAGACACUAGUGUUAAAUUAUGGCCGUGUUAAUAAAGUCCUUGAAGGAUCUGGGGAAAUUUCCAGCGCCCUUUAUGCCUGUGUACAGAAUUGUGUUGAUGGCCAUAAUGCCUAACUGACAUAUCUCUGCGGCUGUCAUAUCAGUAAGGCUUAUCUGGAGAGAAAGGGAUAUAAAACUGGACUUACAAUCAUGCAGUCUGAAGGAAGAAAGGUAGCUCUCCUGACUGGAAAAGUCAGAAGUAUCUCAAAAGUAGAGUACUGAGAAAAAGGACUUUUCUUAACUUUAAACUGUUUCUUGCUGCUGCUAAAAAUUCAUACAACCUUUAAAUUUGAUGUUCAUGAUUACACAUUUCCUUCUAUACUGUAGCUAGAAUAGCACUAUGAUGCACAUUUGACAGGUAAAGGAACGGAAACAUCGAGGGUUUGGGGAUCUGUAGGCUGGCGCGAUGAUUCCAGGACUCCAGGCUCACAGUUUUCAGCCCGGCAUGAUGCCUGUCACACCUGCUAUAUUCUGUUACAUAUUCUUUUCUACACCUUUGGCCAUUUGAGCUGAAACUUUCCAGGUACACUCCUCCAUUUAUCAGUGAUAUUUUAGGAACUCUUCUCUGCAACUUAACGAAUAUGUACAUGCAGACUUGGUUUUGGACUUCUUCACUGCAAGAACGAGCCGAGGAGAAAAAGCUGAAGGAGGCACAGAAAUAGCCUCCAGGGAAGCAGAUUGACACGUAGUACUUUGGUAGCUUUGAUUUGAGUCAGCUGUAACUGAAAUCUGUACAUUCUGUGCACAAAGGUACCUUCUGUUCUGAGCAUUAAACUGCAAAAAGCAUAGCUAAACACAACCUUAAAAAGAGAUGAUGGUGGUACCAGGGCAGUGAUGUGUCAAUUAUAGUCAUUUUCCAUGCUGUUUGAUUACUUUUCCCUAAAUGUUCUCCUAACGUGAAACAGGGAAAGGCAGGGCAGAUUUCCUUGUCCUUGGGGUGCUACUGUUUUGCAAACAGAAAAGCAACUCUACUGAUGGACAGCAGUGAGAAAAAUGUGUGGCACUUCUACUGCUGCUCCAGAAAGCACUGUUCUGACAGCAUAAAAAACUUCUGGUACUGACCUCCAUCAUUAACCUCCCUUCUCGCUUGGUCCUCCACAGCCUGGUGUUAAUGAGAAAAGGUAAGAUUUUAAAGUUCUUCACAGUUUGGGCAAAAUUCUACUUUAUGUUGUGACGAAGAAGAGAAAGAACUGAAAAAGUCUAUUUUAGUACUUUUAAAUGAAAAUUGUAACUGGGGAGAAGUAUGAUUACUUUAACAUUUCUGAAAAAAUAGUGUCUGAUACUUUGGUUUAAAUAUGACUAGUUAAAAAGAAAAAUCAACACAAACUUCUAAAGUAUCAAAACAAAACAAAAAGCUCUGAGCAAAAUGAGAUUACACUGGGGGAGGAUCAAACUCAUUUGGAUGUUGGUGUAAACUUUUAAUUUAUUCUUUUUUUUUUUUUUUUUUUUAAAUUCCAAUAGGUAUUAAUGUCUAUUAUUUGUCCAUCACUACUGCAUGCUGACUACACUUUAUCUCCUUCAGGGCAAGCCAUUUUCUUCCUUGGCACUAUAGGUAAUUUAGGAAUAUAUUUAUCUCUGCAUUUACAUUACAGCUGACUCCCUGCUUUCUUGGCAGUAUCUCUUUAAGUCAUAUUUUAGCUGUACUGUACUUGGGGGGUGGAGGGAGUUUAUUUGUUUAUGAUUAGAGGAGAAAACUAUUUUGGCUUAUACUCUCUUCUCUUCCAGAAAAAAAAAAAAAAGAAAAAAGAAAAAAAAAGCCACAGAAUCCUUAAAUUCUUUCUGACAUUAAAAAGCACAAUAAUUCUUCUUCUUCACUGGAAUGGAACCAAAGCCUUUCAGAACAGCUUUUACUCCCAGUGGCAAGACAGAAAUCUCGUGCUCUAGAAGCACCAAAGGCUGGUGUGUUCAUCUGGGAUGUCGGACACUCAAUGAAUUUCUCAUUGGCAGAGCAGAGUGGUUCCCAGAAGAGAAAUUCUGAGAAUCUUUCUUGAGAAUGGCCAGGUGGUCAGAAUAACUACCUGGCAUGUGAAGCCUGUUGUUUGUUAUAUCUCUGGUCUGAAUGAAGAAACCCCACUUAGGCCAGGUCCUGUGUAUUCUCCUGAGGUGCUUCCCUGUAUGGGAAUCUGUGGAGUGAGCCUCUGGUCCAUACCAGGAGGACUUCGGCUGAAUCCAAAACUGUUGCUCUUCCAUAUGUUCUUGUAAGGGGACAAUUCAGAAAACUGGUAAUGUUUGUGAAUACCUCUUUUACCCAAAUGACCUCUGUCGUCUCUACAUUUUUCUCAGAUUUUCUACUGCUUUACUGUAGUAGCGUUAUACAUAACAGCUACAGAAAAUGUUAUCUUCGAUGUUUCUGUUUUUGAAGAAGAACUUCUAAGAGUUUCACCACUGUUUUUUUUCCUAGUGGAUCAGAUAAUAGAACUGCCUUUUUGUUCAUGACAUUGUGUUUGGAUGAGAAGAUACGGUGACCAGAAAAAGGAAAUUUUACCUCUUAGGAAUCAUAAAAUUGCAUGGACUCUCUGGGGAACAAGCUGCUGUGUUAGAAAAGCAAUGCAGAAGGUGAGGUAGAAAAACACUUAAAAAAGAGCCAAAAAACGCGCCAACCCUCUGGAACCCUUUCUGGAGAGGGUACCUCUCUGGUACCCCUUCCACUAGUGUGGUCUCCAUCUGAAGCUUGGUUUAAUGCUGUUUUCUAGGUAAGUGGUGCUGUUGCUUGACUUUAGGAUUGGAGAUGUCUCUUGUAUCUAAACAGCCUCAGAGCAUUACAUAACUUGUUGUGCAGAUAAUGGGAGUGCAGAUGGUGAAGAAAGAAGGGCAAAUAAUGUCUCUUCCCCCCACUUUCCUUGAUGGAUAUCCAGUAUUUUCAUACUAGGUGGCUUCAUUUGUCUUGGCAUCACCCAGACUUUCUUUCAGGUUAGAGGAAUGCUGGCCUGGAAAGCUGAUCUUAUAGAGAAAGAAGGAAAGUGUCCUUUGUAAAACAUAGCAGCCUGGCAUGAAGAUAAAACAUGGUGAUAGGUAACUUUGGGUGGGGCUUGCCACUCUGAAGUAACUUCUUGCUGACAGUCUCUUAACCUGUGAUAUCCAUAAACCUAAGGCCCCCUGGGCUGCCUGUGAUUCUAAUGAUGAUGAUGUGUAGGGGAAAAGCAUCUGGCAUGACAUUCCCAACUAAGGUCUUGCUCCUUCUGUGAAGUCUCCAAUUUUCCUUUUGAGAAGGAGCUGGUUCUUCAGAUCUGAAUCUAAGCACUGGAAGAGUCUAGAUCCCAGAUACUUGUUCUGACAAGUGUUUCCCUUGAACUAGCAAGGUUAUGUUACAGUCUGUAACUGCCUAUACCAAAUACACCAGGCAAGUUCAAGGUUUGGGCUUUGCCUGGCUCUGACUUUUUAAUAAUAAAUUUAUGUGCAAGUGAAAACUAGAUACUAUAUUGGCAGCAGGCAAUUUAUAACCAUAAGAUUUUACUUUCAUUUCCAUAGCAACAGUCUAGGAUGCACCUAUAUAUAUCUAUAUCUAUCUAUCUAUAUAUAUAUAUGAAUUGGAUUCUGAUUUCAGCUCUGCCUAUUGAGCCCCAGAAUAUCCCAUUCACUGGCACCAGCAUCCUCAUUCCAUUGAUGGAUUGGCUAGCAGAAAUCUUCAUUUGUCUUCCCAACUUCUUAUAACAUGAAAAAGAACAUUGUAAGAAUAAAGAAAUCAGAUUUUAGACCUGAAAUUAUACUAAGAGGAGUGUAAAACUAGAUCUUCAGGGAUAUAAGUGCAUCAGUAUGUUGUCACUGGAUGAGUUAAUGUCUGAAUUUAUAUCACACUGGUUAAUCCUUGCUUAAUGCUGAUGUGCCUAUCUUUUCUGCACAUAGAAUACUACUUGCAUAUUACUUGCUAUUCAGUAAAAAGUGCAGACAACCCUAAAGGUUUCUGUAGGACAGAUCAAGUUCAUAAAUGGGUACACAAGAAUAAUUAAUUUUACCUCACACUAUGUAACGUUGUUCUACAUUUUAGGGCUAAAUCAACAACCUCUGAAAUCCUGGCUCCUGUGAUAGAAGGCAGGAAUUUAUGUUCAAUUGGGAAUGUAUCUGAUGAACGUCAAUGUGCCACUUUUACACUGACUCAUCAGAAAAGAACUGCACUUGCAAAAGUCAUGUUUUGCUUGUAGGACUGGUAACCAAGUCUUGCAAGACUGCCUUCCGAGAUAAAUGCUCAAUUUUCAUUGGGCUAGAGAAGAGGAAAAAGGGUUUGGUGGUCUCCAGCAUGGGUCAUGAAGGUCCAGAUCAUUGCAUGCUCCCCAGUUUCCUGUGUGAUGGCCACUAUGUCACUCAAACUCCGUCACUAUAAGCCAGUGAAGACUGAAGAGCUAAAUGCAUCAAGGUGUCCAGCCUGUGAGGGAGUGCUGCACAUGAGUACUGUAGGUAAACUGUACAACAGGCUGAAAAAUGAAUGCAGUGAUUUCGUUGGACACAAGGUCUAACCCAAGCAAGUAGAACAAGACUGACGUUAUGCAGAAGAAGAGCACCUCCUUGUGUGCUUAUUAAGGUCGAGUAAUGACAAUCAGGAUGCCAGCACCUACAGUUUUUAUUUGAGUGCAGUAGUGAGAUUUAUUCCUUCUGAUGCUGCUACAGACUAUGGAACAGCACCUUUUGUCAAAUGGCUUGCUCUCUUAGAAAGAAAAACCUAAUUCAUAAUUUAUGGAUCUUGAGUGGCUUAAAGAGAGCAGUGUGGAAGGUAAAUUUAGUUAAGUCUCUCAUAUAAAUAAUCAAAGCAGCAAUGUUGUUACGAAACAUGAUUGGGAACCACCAGGUUUCUUUGAUGUCUCCAUAUGUUACAGAAACAAGGGAGCAUGUUUAUUUUGCAAAGAAUUAGGUGUUCUCUGCAUUUUUAGGUUUUAUUUUCCAUCUUGCUGUCAGGCUUUCUUCACAGUUCCUCAGCAUUUCUCCUGCUGGCCCAUUUUAAUUUCACAGUUUAGAUAACAGGGCUAGAAGCUGGAUAAAUUGCUACUCAAGUUCUUUCAUUUUUAAGAUGCUGAAUAGUAACUUUGAAAGGGCAAAAUCCUUGAAACUGUACCAUCUGAUAGGUGUCUGGCUGGCUUCAGCCACCUCUGAAGUAUUAACUGUGUCCUGUGCAAACAUUUGUCCUCUUGUCAAACCCUUCUAAAUAUCUUGUUCCCUCCUUUAUCUUUCUUAGAUUAUCACUACCCUUUAAUUCUUGGCUGCAAUAGCUUAGAUUUAGAAGAGAGCAGAAGGUUUCUUCCAGCCAGCUUAUGUUUUCCUUGCUUAGUUCACAUUCCCUGUUCCUGCUCUCCUGACAUACCUAGGUUUUCCUGGGGGAUUGCUUUUGGGGUUCCUUUGGAGUAAGCCAGCAGGGGAAUGGGACAGCUUUUCACCUGGAAUAAAGUAGUGCUGUAGCAUUUGUGUCAGUAACCAUAGUUGAACCACACAACUUUAUUUUGGCAGAAGAUUGAGUCUUCUCCAGCAUAGUAAAACACAUACACCUCUUUGAAUCCAAAUGCAUGUUAACCUUGAAGUUUAAAUUUUUCUUUUUGCAGUGAGAGCUCAAAUUUUUGCUAAGAGGAGUUCAGAACUGUUCUACCCUGCACAUACUUUUGAGUGAGUGUGAUACCGUGUACCAAAACUCAGAAGAGUUUACAAGAAAUGUUUAUGGUAACUUUAGUUCCCCAUUAGUUCCAGUCAUGCAAUGGCGAUUUUGUUUUUUUGUCCCUUUAAAAGCAUUCUUCCUCCUGACUGCAUUCCAAGGUAGGUGUGAGAUAACUCACUAAAUCACCAUCUAAUUUAUAACUUUGACAGUCAUUCUGUGAGUCAUGUCUUUAUUAUUGCAGAAAUGCAACCCACAAACAUUUUUUUUCCUUAAAGCUUCAGUUUGUUUGGUCCCAAAGAAAGCUUUGAUGCCAUGUUACCCAACAGACACUUAAGGGCCAUGAUUCCACCCAGGGCUUCAGCUCAUGAACUCUAUGCCUGAAUUUUAAAGAUUAUUAUUUAUCUAUUUUUAUUCCUCUCCUUUCGCUAAUAUUGCUUCAUCUUCCCCUUUCCCUUUUGUGUAGAUGUACUUUCUGUGUGUGCUGUUUUGUUGCUUGCAGCCUAAGCUUUUAGGUCACCUUGGAAUUGAAGUGUCUCAACCCUAUCCUCGAGCUGUGCUUUUUCUUUUAACCAUUGUUCAUCCAGUAUUCAACAGAGAUAAAUGGCAUGAACAUGAUCAGUAAGAGUGCAUUAGAAAUUGCUACCUCCUCCUUUAUUCCUCUCGUCAAAAACAAUGGUAUUUGUAACCAGAGACAGCCUUAUGCAACACACAAACAUCUCAAGUAUGGUAAAUGAUUUCCAAUUGUUCCAUGUGUCUAAGUAAUUCCUGGUCCCCCACUUCUGAUAUCUUUUGCAAUUUUUAUUAAAACAAUUGCUUACUUUUUUUCUACUAGUGCCUGGAUGUUUUUGUGUGAACUGUGGAUGUUUUUUCUAUCCUGAAAUUUUUGCAGCCUAGAUAACAAUUUACAUGUAAGAAUACGUACUAAAAUUGGGGGAGGGGAUAUAUGAGAAGUUGUAUCCCAAAGAGAAAAAAAGUGUAUUUGUUCUAUACAUUUCCAAUCAGCAAAACUGGGUGGGUUGUUGCAUGGCAACAGCUUUCUGAUCUUCAAUAUUUUUUUGAUUAGUGAAAAACUUUGAGAUUUGUUGAGCAAGUAUGAGUCAUGCCUUUGAGAUAUCAUAUUUAAGACUUUGGGUGGAUGUUUGCAGUCUGCCUGGAAGACUUUAGAGCAUCUCUGGCAGGUCAGAUUGCAGUCUUAGGUCUGGAGCUAUGUUUUCAAGAACUGAACUUAUAAGUAACACUGAAGUCCUUGCUGUAUCUGAGGCACCUGGAAGCAGUGCGUUUUUUAGAAUAGGUCUUCAUAUCUCCUUGUUCAGCAUUUAAGAACAAACAAACCAUAAAAACAACAGUCAGAGGCAACUACAAAUACUAUUCAUUCUUAAGAUUCUUAGACCAUAUAUGAAUGCUCUCAUUCUCAAUAGAAAUUGCAUAUCAAUGCAAUAUCUUUCUCCUGAUUUUUCAUCUUACACCAUGCAUUGCUUUUUUUCUUUGAGUUGUCCACUUCAGUUUAGAAAAGGUGUAUCAGAAGUCUUAUAAGGAUAGGCUCUUUUUCUGUCCAACAUAAGGUAGUUCCUUGGAGACUUGUGCCCUUACUUGGGCACCUGACCUGACUUGCUUUUGAAUAAUUCCUGACUCUACACCACAGUGUGAUGGCAGCUUCACUCUGGUAUGUUUCAGCAUCAUGUGCUAAGCUCCAUAUUUUGCUGCCUGUGGUUAACCCAAUUGUUCCAUGUGCUGAGCAGUUGACAUCAAUCUUUCUGUCACAGUCCACAUCUGUCGAAGUUUGGCCUUCAGAAGUAUUGCUUAGAGUACUGGAAGGAAAAUGCCAGUGGUCACAGUGUGGAAAGGCAGGAAAAAUAAGAGCCCUGUUGAAUGCAUGGGUACUGCAGUAUGUAUAGCUAGUGCAUAUGGAACGGAAGGGAAAUCUGGAUCAGGAAGCCUGAAUAGUAUUGCUAUAAGAAAAACUGCAGCCUAUGCUUGCUGAGGAAGGUGAAUGAAAUGGGCUACACUCAAAUGUAUAGAAGAAAGCUUUUUGACUGUUGAGAAGUCUCGUCUUGGAAACCAUUGACUAUUACAUAAGAGGUACCAUCCCUGCCAUUAUUCUGCCAAAAAAUUCUUCAAGCAGAAGUGUUCAUGAAGGAGUCUGCAAAACAGAGGAAGGAAAACCUUCAGGAACAGAAUUAUCUUUUAUGGCCCAAAUAGGUGUUGGUGAUGGAUUCCUCUGGCUGCCUCAUUGAUAAGAUACUGAAAAGCCAGGGCAUUUUGUGCAAAAAUGUCAGCAUGAUGAGUGAAAACACGUCACCAAGUCUGCAGAUCCUGAAAUGAGAAAAUGCCAGAAGAAACAUGCAGGUCUUAUUUCCUCAGCUGUUAUCAUGAGAGAUCACAAUCCUGUUGAGCAGUAAAGCAACGCUGCUUUUUAAAACAAGCCACAAAUUAAGUGACCAGAGACAAGAGGUUUGAGCUGCUGCAGUGUUUUUUGUUUGUUUGUUUGUUUGUUUGUUUGUUUUUGUCUUUUUAAAGUGACUAAUUGACCCUUGGCAGUAUACACCUUUGGGAAUCUGGUGUGAUGCACAUCCACGGAGUCUGAUUUUUUUCAGAAGGUGUUGAACACUUCCCCCUCUUCCACUGAAGCCAUACCUCGGGUUGUGUAAAAGGAACAGAAGGUCUGUGGGGAUUUCCUCUGAAGCUAGUAUGCAAACAGCAGUCGGAGGACUCCAGCUCUUAAAAGUAUAGAGAACCUUAAAUAGAUGGGCUGGGAUAACUGGGGGGGAAAGAGACAUCUGUUGAGUUGUUGAAAAGACAUAUGCUCCUAGCACUUCCUUUGUCAUGCUUUUUGGAAAUCUUUUCUCUCUGAGUUUAUUGCUAAUAUUUAAUUUAAAACCAGAUUUGGAUUGUUGACAAAAUUAUGACUUGUAAACGGACACUUCCCCCCCCACCCCCAUCCCCCUACCCCCCAGCACAACCUGAACAGUUCUUUCUCCUCCUGCUGCUCCCAGCACACUCACCAUGGCCUCCCAGCCGUGGUUCAGGCCUUGGCCUUGCCUGGCGUUGGUGGGAGAUAGUGUUCUGAAAGCUGGCAGCUCCGUGCUCCUACUGCUGCCCUCCAGGCUGGUGAUCACGUUUGCAAUGAAUGGAAAACCUGACUUUAUUUGUGUGUGUGUGUUUGUGUUUGAGCACUUAAUGACAUUUCAAGGCAUCCGACAAAAGUCUAAUUCCUUGGAUUGGUUUCGUCAAAUAAUAAAAUGACUUGACAUAAGUAUAAUUGAAAGCAGAUGUGGAAAUAUGGAAUUUUAGCAGUCACUCUGCCCCCCUUCCCUCCUUUUCUCUUAGCUUUCAUUCAUGCCAGAAAUAUUUUCAUUUUUGUUUCCUACUUCCUCUCCACAGAACAAAGCCUAGGGAGGAUGAGUUCUGGGGCAGAGAACCAAAGGGUAUUCAUUUCACAUUUUCUCAUCUCCUUGUGAAGUUUCCACCUUUUCUGAGUUCAUUUUCCAUUAUGAAGGAUUUUCAGAUACAUCUCCUCCUUUCCACUAUUUUAGAACUCAUCCUCUAGAUGAACUUUGUUAUAUAAUCGUUUCUCUCUACGGUGGCUGUUUACAGCUAUUGCAUGAAUCUGAAGCUGUAGGUUACACGCUGGGCUCUGUGGAGCAGACGUUAUGUUUUUCUCUUUUCCCCUUGGUUGGGUUGAAUAAGUGUUAAGCAGAAGAAAUAGUAAAGAUGCAGGCUUGAACACGUAUGUAAACACAACUGUGGUCAAAAGGCUGAAGGGCUAUUUCCCAGAGUUUCACUCUGUAAAAUACAAUGCCUUUACAGCCAGCUCUACAGGCUGAAGGGAAUAGGCUAAAAACAGCUGAUAAUACUUUUGCUAUUAUCACUGGUACUUAAAUGGCAGAUAUGAGUUUUUCAGUGGAACAACCCUUCCCAGUAUGUCAAAUCAGUGGAACUGGAAAAAAUAAGGGCUCAGACUCUCAACAGUGAACAUUUAUUUCCCUAAAUCUUCAGCCAUACCAGUAUCAAAGCAUCAUUCCUAUCACUGCUUUGGAAAGAAACAAAUCUUGAAAGAAAGAAAGAAAGAAGGAAAGAAGGAAGGAAAGAAGGAAAGAAGGAAAGAAGGAAAGAAGGAAAGAAGGAAAGAAGGAAAGAAGGAAAGAAGGAAAGAAAGAAAGAAAGAAAGAAAGAAAGAGAACUAUUAUUGAUUUGAUUUCACUGUCUUUUGUUUAAGAGCGUUGUGUAUUUCAAAAGAGUCAGAUACUCUGUUCCCAUCCCAGUGGGAUUCAAACAUAGUAUCCUGUCAAAAUCCCAGCCUAAAACUUUGAGAUCUUUCAGCCCCAAGAAGUUUGUCUGUUUUCCCCAUGACUUCCAAGUCUUUUGACCAUUACAAAAAUAUUUAAGGGAGCUCUUGAAAUCUCUGUUAUUUAUGGUUCCAUAAUUUCCAUGCAAAUAGGUGGACAGUUAAUGAAGAAGAGGGGUGCUUUACUGCCACUGCUAAUGCAGAAGGUGCAAGCACACAAGGUAUUGCUGUCUGAGCUUGUCCUUUCUCACAAUCCAGUCAAUUCCAUGUAAGUCUCAGAUCAACCAGAAAUGAGGGUUCACUCUUUCAGCUGCCUGUGAUACCACUGAUUCCAUGCUACAGCAUGUUUGGCUUUCAGUUCUGAGAGGGUUGGGCUAUGUGUUACGAUGGACUCCAGUCUGUUUUUUUAUUCUAGAUACUAGUUCUAUUGUUUCUUCACCUACAGUAGGCAAACCUAGUUUCCAAGAGCGCUGAGCUUGCAGCGCUCCAGCUGCAGGCACCAGAUAAUUCAAAGGUCUUUAGAAAUUAGACCCCAUUUUUGAAUUGUGACAGUAAUACAAUGAUCUAUUUAAAAGCAGUAUAUGUGUCUGAGGCAGUAUAGUCUCCAUAGAGAGCUGGAAGCAAAAGCAUGCUUGGUAAGUUUAAUCUGGUGCUCAGUUCAGUAUAUUCAUUUCAAGAAAGGAGGUAUUUCAAUGAACAUCUUGCAUAUCUUAAAAGAACAGCAUGAUUCUAUGCUAAGUGUUCAUUUUGUUUUUAAUUAGUAGUAGUAUCUUCUUAGAACAGAAAUAGAAAUUUCUGACCUAAUGGAUUUAUUGCUAUCAAUUCAGGUAGGUUGCAUACUGUCCUUUCUGGAGCCUAACAGGAAGAUCUUAUUCAUAUUUCUUCACGAUAUUGUAAACAGAUAUGUAAAUACUUGCAAAGCUAAAGAUUCCUCUUACCUGUAUAAUCACAGUUCAUCUUGGGAUUAGUCUGGAGAAACAAAGGUUUGAAGCACACAUCUCUGAUUCAUCUGCCAAGUAUGUUGGUAAAGCCAUCCAUUUGUUGUGAAAUUCUUCUGGUUACGUGGUUCAGCUUGUACAUGCAGUUUCUUCAUCUGCACACACACUUAUCAGAUUUGUGUGGACAAGACAGAUGUUUGCACAGUCUUUAUGGAGAGUUCAUCUGUAUGUUUUCAUUAUUGCUAUGAUCAAAAUGUCAAGAUUGUCAAUCAACUUUUCACUUGUACACACUGUUCCAGAGUUUGACAACAUUAUCAGUGGGGGCAUAUAAUCAUCUGCACUGUCAUGUUUUGUUUUCUGUAAGCUUCUGUGUUGUGUAGACCUUAGGUACAUCUUCUUCAGUGCACAUCUGUUAAAUAUGUAAAAGUCAAGUAUGUGGCCGUGUUCUCUACACUGUGUUUUCUAAUUCAGACUCCCAGACUAAACCUGUAACAACAAGCUGUUUUCUGUCUCCUUAUAGAACAAAAAACACUAUUCGCUGCAAAUACAUUUGUUUGUCUUUACUGAAGGUGGUAAACUUGUGGCCAAGGUGAGAAUUAUCUCACUGUUGAAAGAACUCUACAAAUUCAAAACUCUCAUGAUGUGUGUUUUAGAUGGAAUGACAAAUGGAAAAAAUUCAAUGAGCUUAAACACUUGGUAGAUCCUCAUGUAAUGCUGGUUCUUCUUCAGAUAACAUGAAGGUACAGUAAUGUAUCCCAAAAUUUUAUAUGCUGUGACCCAAGUUGUCAGUUUUGACCUGAAAUAUGAAGUAGUUUUCAGAACUCCAUAUAGCAUGAAAGUGUGUUAUUUCAGUUUGUCCCUCCAGGUCUGAACUCUUCCAUCCCAGAUUCAUCCUUCUGUACUAAUAUUUUGUAUUAGGAGGGAUACCUUGUGCGUAUCUCCUCCUCACUCCCCUUCUCCAGCCUCCUCCACUGCCCUUGCACUCAGAUCACUAAUCAUAUUUCCAUAAAAAGUAUGUACUCUGUUCAUUUAUUCUGCUACCCAUGUCCCACAGCCUGUUUUCCAAGACCUACAUUUGUGUCCAGCACCUUCCACUUCCUUCCUACAAUUGGAAAGCAAGAUGUUUGUGGGGAGAUGCCAUAGUAAGCUCUAUUGGGAAGAUGGAAUGGAAAAUUAUGAGGGUGUGAUACUGUUGUUUCAGAAAGUGUUAAUGAAUGUUGUCAGCCAAACCUUUGACUUAAGAGAGCAUGGUGGGAGCAACAAGCAAAUGAUGAAGGCUCACUGUGUUCCCCAUUACUGUCAUUCUCGUUUUCCUUGGCUCGGAGCAUCUGGCAUAGUCUCCAACACUUUUAACUGAGGAAAUGCAGCAUUCCCAUGCUGUUGUGUGACAGACAAACAGAUGAACCUACAAAGAAAUGCCAUGAAGUUGAGUGUGUGAGUUCACAAGCUCAGUCAAUUAUUCACAACUAGAAAAAUAAUGUUACAUAAAUGGUCAAGAUUUUUUGAGGUGACUAAUUGUUUUGGAUGUCUUAUUCUUCAGAUGAUCCAUUAAAAAUACCUUAAAAGGGCUUGUGUUUCAGCAUGCGGAUUCCCAGAGCCCUCUAAAAAUUGAGGGUCCUUAUAAAUGCUUCAUGAUGAACACCCAGAAAACCCAGAAAUGAUCAAAAUCACUUUUCAUUCAGAAGUGUUACCCAUAAAGUUAUGCAUUGAGGCAUUAUUUUCUGGUUUAUAUCCGUCUGUGAAUCCUACUUGCAUGUUUGUAUACAGACUCUAAAUAAAUGUUAACAGCAUUUUUUAUAAGUUAUGUUGUAGGUGGAAGCACUUUGCUAGAAGCAGAAACAGUGGUCUAAAAGUUUGGAAGGGAGGCCCAGGAAGAGUUCAUUGGUUAGGUCUUGAAUGUGGAGCUGUUUACUAACCACACACAAAGUAUGUCAAGAGGGAAUAGGGCAUUGCAGCAUCACUCUCCAGCACUGCUAGUGUCUGAAGCAUGGGAAAAGUACAUAUAAAAAUGUCCAAAUAAACUGGAGAAGCUGAGUAGUGGCAGGCUCUUUUAGGCUGUUUUAGGGUCACUAUAGGAUGGAGACUGCCUGGGGCAAACAGGAGUUUGGUGGGCACUGUUGCAAAGAGGUCACAGCAGCAUGCUGGGAUGAGGCUGGAGGAAAGCAGCAGAAAGGUCACGUAGUCCAUCCAGCUAAACAGUCCUGGUGGGUGGCAGUCUGAAAUAAUUCCUGAGCUAUUAAUUAGGAAGAUGCUUCUUCCAGGUUCCGGCUGAAGUCAUAAGACAUGCCAAGGCAAGGAGCCAAAAGAUCAAAAGGACACUAAUUUUUUUUUUUCCUUUUAAACCAUUCUGUGGAGAGAGGAAAGAGAGUGCUGUUGAGGGCCAGUUCACACAGGACAUACUGAUGGAGCUUGAGCUUGGCUUUUCUGUAGGAUGUAAAGAAGCAGAAUCUGUCUGGCCCUGCUUCUGUCCUUUAGUGCAGCGAUUUAGUGUAGAGAUUAAUGAUUUUUUUUUUAACUUGGCCUUACCUUUUAUCUUAACUUCUUCUGUAAAAUUGCUACUACUUAUACCGUCUUUUGGUCCCUGUGUUAGGGUUACACAUAGCCUUUUCAAACCAACCUACUGAAAUUACCUUUAUUAACAAUAUUUCACAAGCCCUUCAAAAGGAAUAUUGCAAGUCUUGGUUCUGGGCAGAUUUUCUAGUUAAGCAUAAAUAAACCCACCACGCUGCAGCUUGUGACUUGCAUUUAACGUCACAAGAAAAGCCAAAGCAACAAUGCCUAAUGGUAAAGUACAGGGGAGAAGCAUGUACAUCACUUACCAGCAGACUAGACAGGUCAGAUUCCAUACUGCACAUAAUAGCACAGCCCAUGGAGUCUUGUUUCCCAUUUACUUUUCUCUGAAUGACUCUUUCUCACUCCCCUUCAUUCCAUGAGUCCACUGUUUGCAUCUUCUGAUGUUUGGGAAGGGUAUCUGCUGCAGCCUUUCCCACAAUGGCUAUGCAUGCCUAUUUUCACUCAGCCUGCACCUACUAUUCUGACAGAUUUGGCCACAAAUGAACAGGAAAUUCAAAACUGAUUGGGGAGAAAAUGAUAGGAGAAAAGGACUGGAUGGCAGUAUGAUGUGUCUUAAAUACUCAUUUUUAAGGACACUUGAUUAAAGCAGGGUAAGUCUGGGGAACUGAAAAUACCAUGGAAUUGAUUUUUGCAAGAGGAGCCUGGUAGGAAAGACACCAAAGACUAAAUUUGCAUUGUGUCACAUGGAUUCACUACAUUUUUCCCACUACAAAAUGCAAACUAGACAUUGAACAUGAAUGUAGAGGCUGGUCACUUCUUACAGUGAAAAAGAACGCCAGAAUUUUGCAACCCAAACAGGAAACACAAUGGUAGGUCCUACUUGUAUAAAAUCUUUCUUCUUCUUCCAUUUGUCUUGUGGUUGUGAAAGGGAAACCCCCUGUUUUAGUGGAAUGUUUUUGUGGGGUCCAGAGUGAGAUUCCAAUAGGGGCUCUGUUGCAAUCUUAAACUUGGAGCAGCUGUUAUCCCUCCUUAACAACGUCAGUGCCAUUAAUUUGAUAAAGCCAGUAAAAGUUCUAGCAACCUUCAUGGAACUCACAAAGGCAUUUGGUGGGAACAAAUUUUUUUUGAGCACUAUUUCUUUUAAGUGUCAUUGUGCUUCCCCCCCCCCCCCCCCCCCCAGACUUAAUUGUGGAGGCUAAAAGAAUAGAUUUUCAGUAUACCACAUCUGAAAUUUUUGUGCCUCUUUCUGAUUGUAUAUUCAUUUCUAUACAUAUUAAGGAGAAUGAUUUUACUAUUAUUAUUAUUAUUAUUGAAAAAUUCAAUAUCUUCUUUAUGGUUCUUCUUUCACCUUAAGCAGGGAAGAAAUGAGAGAAUAAAUAGAGAAAAAGGCAAACAUCUACAUUAUUUCAUGACAUUUCUACCAGUGAAAAUGCACUAACAUCUCAGAGGAAGUGGAAUGUUUUAAAACCAUGCAAAGACCAUCAAAGUGCAUGUUUUCUCAUAAUUCUCAGUCGUAGAACUGAAACUGGGGCUCCUAAAUAACUUCUUUUCAUUAAUUCACAAAGGUUUAACUAGUCUUUUUCACAUGAAAUCACAUUUUAGUAUUUGAUUUAACCCCUGUCACCAUCAAAAGUUUCUUGAAAUUUACACAUAAUUGGCCAUUGUCAAUUUAAAAUUGUCAUCCUUUUCUCUACAUCAUUAAAAACAUCUUUGGUGUUUGAUCCAGCCAUUUAUUGUAUGCUUUACAACCUUAAGCAACAAAUCUAAGUUCUGCUCCAAUGAUUUCCUUCUGGUCAUGAUGGUUAGCUGACAACAUUUCAUUUAGAAAUUAAUCAUAUUCUCUUAUUGUUGAAGCUUUUAUAAAAAUGAAACUAAAUCAAAAUUAAAGACAGGUGUACACCCUUUAUUGAGUUUAGAGAGAGCAUGUUAUUAAUUUUCCAUUCCUCAUAAAAUGCUGCCUUAGAAGGUAGCUGAGUGUGAGAAAGUUAUAGCAUCACUGUCUAAAAUUAUAAUAAUUGGCAAGCAAGAGGGAUUCUGUAGCUCCUGAGACCGUGAAGAGGAGCAACCGUUCCUUUUCUAUUACUCAACUCCUGAGGGCUGCACAUUUCUAACAUACAAAAAAAAAAAAAAUUCCCUCCCACAGCUAUAACACUGCAGAGUGUCUACCAAAGCUUAGAGGACAGUACUCAAAAAAUGACCAGGAAAAGAGAACACAUUUGGAGUCACUCUAUUUCACAGGUGUGGGCUUAAGAACAUGUUGUCUGUAAUUUCCAGGUUCAUGCACUGUAGCUUUGUUACAAAGCUUAAACUUGAUCCUCAUUGACAGCUACAAGACAGAAAAGUAUGUUGGGGCAGGAAAUACUUGGAGAAAUAGCAAUAGACAAGAAAGAAAUCUUCUCACAGCAAAAGUUGGAGGAAAUACGUGUUUUGAAUUAAAAUGUUAACCUUGAGAAUAAAGUCAUUACAUUGUGGUGUUGUCACAUGAGGCAUCAUCACAAAUGCAUGUCACUGUGUAAUCAAAAAGUGAUCCUGCAUGGUCUUUGUGGAGACUGCAAAUCUGGAUACAGAAACAGGAAAAAGUCUGACAAAGAUGGGCUGAACAGUGGUGGUAGCCUACUGCAAAUUCCACACCAAGCACACACUUUUGACCUAAAGGAAGUUUAACAUUUACGAAGAGACACAGUGGAGCCUGAAGAGUGAAAAUGAUUCCUUAAAAUUAGUAUUCCUGUGCACUGGGGCAGACAGUAAUCUUCAAAUCCUUAAUUUGCCUUCAGUUGCAAGCACAGUUAUACAACGCAGGGUCCAGCAUUGUGCAGAGAUUCUUUUGUGAUACUGUUUAUUCUCCAGCCUAAGACCUUUGAUGGAGUAAUGGAUUUCAAGAAGACAUCUCUGCCACUAAGGUCAUGAUGUGGCUUGCUUUGCCACGAAUUCCUUGCCUACAUGGCAAGGAAGAAUAGAACCCACCCCAUUGGGGGCUAUUUCCAGAGCUAGUUGAAAGCAUUUGGUUGUUCCUUGAAUUGCCUUUCUCUGCCUGUCUUGAAAGAGGCAAUUCUCUUGAUGCAAAGUAAAAUUGUCAUGCUAUUAUGUGAUUCUUAGCAGAGGGACCAAUGCUGGUGCAUUUGAGAUCAGAUAUUGGAUAGCCGUGUAGCAUAUUUCACAGUCAAAACCAUCCGAGCACAUGUGAAUACUUUGUGGAUCUGCGUUCUUGAUGAAGGCUGGACUGCCUCUUACACUGUGGGAGAAGUACAGCCAGUGCAAGACAAAGGCCAGAUCCCAAGGCCACUUCCCCUGCUAAUCUGUAGCUGAGUUUUGCUCUCCCACUUAUUAAAAGGGAAUAAAACCACAAUAUUUAAGGAAAAAGAAAGUAAUUUCUUUGGUACUGUUUCUGUCUGUUCCUCUGAACUGUAAAUUCUCCUUUAAACACAGGAUACUGGAUCUGAUAGUGAAUACACUGCAUACCUUCUUAUGAAUGAUUUGUAGUCUCUUUUUUGCAUAAAUCAAUAUUUUUACCAGUCUGCUGUGGCUUUCUGUUAGCUGUUUGGGUGGCAUUUUAUAUGCUCUUGCAUUUUUUGGUUAUUGAAAGAUAGAAGGUUUUGAUUCUGAUUUUAUUACCUUGAGAAGCAGGGAGAGGGAUGGAGUAUGCUUAACUGGUUAUUUCAGAGUCUUUUCGGAGAGAGGAGUAGGUGAGCAGGUGAGCCAGAGCCUCACCUAUCCCAAUGUGUGGUGGUGAGCAGCGGGUAUUUUGACAAAAAGAUAAGAACAGGGCAGCUUUCCCAUUACAUCCCUCUGACUUCUGACAAAUUUUAGGAAUGAGCUGAAGAAUGUUCCUGAACCACUAUGUUUAAUAGCUAAUGGCUUUUGGUUAGAGAAAUCCGAUCCUCCCUUUGGUCAGUAAUAUGCACUGAAUAAUAUCUUCAGAUUGCUGCCAGCCAUGUUUUCCAUGAAUCUUUGAAAGUCUGUGGAAAUUUGUUGGGCUCAUUUUUCAGUUUCUUGUUAUUCAGAUCAAGAGAUCCAUUCCAGCUUGGGCCAUCUAAGGAUUUGACCUUUGGAUUCCUGUCUGUCUGUGUUAGAGUGCCUGCUACCACUGCUGUCCUAGCAUUUUGCCACUGCCUUGGUUGCAAGGGGCUGAGUAACAUCAUGAUCUGUACGACUGGCAACAAGCCUGUCUGGCAAAAUUUAGAGAAGGGAGGGAGGCCCCUUGGGAUUGAAAAAGCUUUAUAAAAGGCUUUAUAUUAGUUGUUAGGCGUGUGUAUAUAUAUGUCUGUAUAUUUGGGAAACAAUUUUACAAAAUUUUACAUUCUCAUAUACAUGCUAUGUUUUUCUUUUGGCCUUGGUUCAUGAUAGGGAAAAAAGCUUUUGUUCUGAAGGGGUUUUCUCAGUCAUAAACUGUGCAUUUAGCUACUGAACUUGCCCAGAUUUUGUUACUGUUUUCCUUCCAAGUAUACAACACAGUGUCAGAUCAGACAUUCUACAGUGUAUUACAAGUCUUCCUUUUAGCUUUGCAUAAACAGAACCGAUAAAUAUUGUCAAUCAGAGUUACUAUUUUUUAACUGCAUAUGUUGAAGUUGUGGUCAUGAAAAGUGUAAGCCCUGGCAGUUUUGUAGCUCCCUUUGCUGACACUUAACGUUUUGUGAUUUUCUUUUUAAUUUCUUUGAACUAUAAAUAGAGGAAACGUACCGCAAUGCUUUAUUCGUGAUGACAGAAUAUACAACAGUCCAUAUGCCUGUGUUUUGGCUCAGAAUUGGACAGAUAGAUGUUUGUAGUUUUUUCAUGUGCUAUUGAUGAUUCAAGGGUUAGAUAAAUUUACUGUAGUGGGAGGUAUUGGCAGAAGUAAUACUUGUAUAAACAUGAUCCUUUUAGUUAUAAAAUAAAAACUACCACUAAAUCAUUUUACUCCCAGUUGCACAUGUCCAGAAGUUCUUUCUCAUUCCGUAGGACAAAGUUUGGUAAAUCCCUCCUGAUAUGAGUUGCUUCCAGAGACAGUUUAAACUGUGGAUAAUUCUGUUGGAUUUUGUUAGGAAAUGGUUUGGCAACACAAGUUAAAAAUAGUACAUUUACAUCCUUGUUCUUGGUGUCAAGAAUUACAGUGGAGAUAAUGCGUUGCAAAGAAAUUAACUUUUGGGUUCAUAUAUGAAGAUCGUAAAUAAGACAUUCAAAAAAAAUCUGAUACAUGGUAUACGUCCAUGUGUGUCCACAUAGAGUGAAUAAACCUGUAGGUAUUAGAUGUUCAUUAUUAAUGCUAAGGCUGCUGAUUCAUUUCCAGUUGCAGUUUUCUGCCUGGGAGCUUUUUUACAGUGCAAUGCAAAAAAAUAAAAAAAAAUAAGAAAUAAAAAUAAAAAUAU